ACCCUUCUUGUCUUUUAAUAAAGCUUAUUUACUCUCUCUUUUGCAUACCUAUCUCUCUUCCAAAAUUCUGUCUAUUACUUUGCAAUUUUCAUCUUCCUUUUUCCUACCGUAUUUCUCUCAUACCUUUAACUGUGUUAAUUUCUAUGAACUUAACUCUAUCUACCUUCUUUAGGGGUGCUAUUCCCCUAAUCUAAUUUUAUAGGUGUGGACAAUCAGGGAUGCCAAAACGCAAUCGAAAGAUUGAGGAGAAGAAGAACACAAAAUUCAUUAGCGGAGAAGUCUGACUACGAUUAUCCAGAAAGGUCCUAUUAUCUCAGGGGUAAUGCAAUAUAGAUGGAAACAUUGAUCAUACAAGCUCAUCAAAGUGAGUUAGCAAAAAAUUUACUCUUUUUUCCUUCUAAUUACAACUUUUGUUAGUCAAUGUGGAAGAUUUUGUUUCCAAUGUUAACGUGAUGAUUUAAAUGUGGUUCUGUAAUACAAGUAGAAAACGUGAUGUGUUUAAUGUAAAUCGAUUCGUUAGUUCUAGAUUUCUCUACUAAAGGAUGCAGAUUAUUCUGUGUGCAUAUUAGUAGACAUUGAUAUUUUUUUUUAUCAAACAUCAUGUCUUCAUAUACUAACGAGGGCCUGGAUUAGUCAUAUGAAGGUUAGCUUGAUGAUUGUUCUAACGAUUCUAGGAUGCAUUUGAGCCCUAAGGAUGUGUAGCAAACAUAUAUGCAGACUCCUCUGAAGAUUGCCUACUUUGUUGUCUAUCCAUUUGCUUUUACUAAACCAUGCAGUGCUCAUCGAGUUAUGACUCUGAAAGAUGUUAAAAAAUUGAUAUGCACCCCGCAAUCAAAGUCAAGGCAAAAUAGUAGAUCAUUAAAAUUUGCACAUCCAAAUCAGCAUUCUCGGGCAAGCUUGGCAUUCGAUCGGAAGACCAAAGUACAGACUGAAGGAGGAAAGCAUUAAUAUUAUGAAGACCAAAGGUUAAUUCGUUUAUUGUUGCCUAUUCAUUUUUGGAGGCUAUGCUGCUCCAUUUCUUUUGUGUUUGUGACAGGUUACCAGAAGAGACGUAUCCAGAGCAUAACAGAGAUGGAAAUGAAGUCUACUCCAUUUGAAUAGAGAGCUGAUUGUUCCAUUUAGAUUUGGGGAUGUAAAGCGUUGUCCUACUUUUUACUCUAAAGGAUCGUUUACUUCUUCUUGGACUUGUGAUGUUGUGGUGAUGAAUCUUGCUAAUAUAAUAUUCAUAUAUUUUACUUUCA